GAUGUACUCAGUUUUUCACACACUGCUAUGCCAUGUGUUGUUGUCCAUCUGUGGUUGGAAUGACCUAAUUUUAAGAUCUGGUCAACAAUAUUUUUAUGUCCUGAAGGUAGAGCUGCUGCAGGCUGCACUGACUUAAGCAUGAUGGUGGCAGCAUGAAUUUCCAAUUAGCACUACUUAGAAAGACUGAUGGAGCACAAACACAGAGGAAGUGAACCUAACUAAAGGUCAGAGGACACCAAGAGAUUCCUGGGAGUGUAUUCAGUGCUGUGCAGGGGCACUGAAAGAGCAAGAACUAUGCUGCUGUCCUAAAUCAAAGAAACACAUCAGCACAGCUUGGCCGAAGCAACCUGCUUCAGUGUGGUAUGGCAGGCUUUGGGUAAUGUCUUUGUCAUGAAGACCCUGAAUUGAAUUGAAUUGAAUUAUAUUAUCAGUUCGAACAACCAUUCAUAUCUCUUGUAACCACAUAAUGCUUUCUGAUGUAAAAAUGUAGAAAAAUUAUACCCCCUAUCUUUGCUUUUUACAGUUUCCAAAUCUAUGCAGUGACACAAAUUGGAUCACUCUUCUUUCAAUGACUCCCUUUAGGAGUUACCACACCAGAUCUACUGCCUCCAUCUCACCCUAUCCCUAGUGUCCUCCUCUCUCUCCUCAUUCACUACACCCAUGAAUAUUCUCUGUGGUCUUCCUCUUCCUCCUGUCUGGCAGCUCCACAGUCAACAUCCUUUUUCCAGUAUAUCUACUAUCCUUCCUCUGCAAACCAAACAAUCUUACUAACUUCAUCUUUGAACGACUUAACCUGGGCAUCCCUCUCUACUUAUUUCUAAUCCUCUCCAUUCUGGUUGAUCGCACUGAAAAUCAACUCUGCCACCUCCAGCAUGGCCUCCUGUUUCUUUGUUGAUGCCAUCGUCUCCAAAUCAUACAUCAUAGCAGGUCUCACUACCAUCUUGUAAACCUUUGCUUUAAUUCUUGCUGCCAUCCUUCUGUCACAAAUCACCCCUGGCGCUCAUCUCCACCCACUCCACCCUGCCUUUCACCUCUCUCAAACACUGUCCAUUGCUUUAAAUGGUUUGCCCCAGGUAUUUAAACUCAUCUACCUUCACUAUCAAGCUUCAAUGAUACACCUUUCUCCCUCUCAUUCACACAUAUACCUGUAUUCUGUUUUGCUUCAACAGACUUUCAUUCCUCUUCUCUCCAGAGCAUACCUCCACAUUUCCAGGGUCUCUUCCACCUGCUCCAUACUCUCAUUUUAGGUAAUAAUGUCAUCUUCAGACAUCAUUGUUUUUAAUUACUCAGUUCAACACUUAUUAUUAAUAAAAUUGGAGGUG